CCCUUAGAUGUCCGGGGCUGCACGCGCGCUACACUGUAGAAAGCAGCGUGCUUUAAAACCUUUCCUGAAAAGGAUGGGUAACCCCAGCAAAAUUCUACGUGCUUGGGAUAGAGAUUUGCAAUUUUCUCUCUUGAACGAGGAAUUCCCAGUAAGUGCGAGUCAUCAGCUCGCGUUGAUUACGUCCCUGCCCUUUGUACACACCGCCCGUCGCUCCUACCGAUUGAGUGUUCCGGUGAGGCUUUGGGAGAAUGGCCUCAACAUGAGUUUAUCGUGUUUUGCCGUUUGAACUUAGUCAAACCUUAUCACUUAGAGGAAGGAGAAGUCGUAACA
rnacentral:rRNA from 1 species